GACGAACGCUGGCGGCGUGCUUAACACAUGCAAGUCGAACGGUGAAGCGCCUUCCUUUUUGGUGGGUGUGGAUGAGUGGCGAACGGGUGAGUAACACGUGAGUAACCUGCCCCCUUCUUCUGGAUAACCGCAUGAAAGUGUGGCUAAUACGGGAUAUUCUGGGUCUGUCGCAUGAUGGGUCUGGGAAAGAUAUUGUUUCGGUGGGGGAUGGGCUCGCGGCCUAUCAGCUUGUUGGUGGGGUGAUGGCCUACCAAGGCGGUGACGGGUAGCCGGCCUGAGAGGGUGGACGGUCACACUGGGAAUGAGACACGGCCCAGACUCCUACGGGAGGCAGCAGUGGGGAAUAUUGCACAAUGGGCGCAAGCCUGAUGCAGCGACGCCGCGUGAGGGAUGGAGGCCUUCGGGUUGUGAACCUCUUUCGCCAGUGAAGCAGGGCUGCCUCGUUUGUGGGUGGGUUGACGGUAGCUGGAUAAGAAGCGCCGGCUAACUACGUG
rnacentral:rRNA from 1 species